rnacentral:rRNA from 1 species
UACGUAGGGUGCGAGCGUUAAUCGGAAUUACUGGGCGUAAAGCGUGCGCAGGCGGUUCGUUGUGUCGGCGGUGAAAGCCCCGGGCUCAACCUGGGAAUGGCCGUUGAAACUGGCGAACUGGAGUGUGGCAGAGGGGGGGUGGAAUUCCGACGUGUAGCGGUGAAAUGCGUAGAGAUGUGGAGGAACACCGAUGGCGAAGGCAGCCCCCUGGGCUGACACUGACGCUCAGGCACGAAAGCGUGGGGAGCAAACAGG